GUAAUUGCUGCAGCGCGGGAUUUCUUCAGUAGGGGCUCGAGCACUGCAACCUCUUUCUAGGUUAGGACCUCGUCGCUUGGAAAGCAUACCGCCUCGCGGUUAGGACUCGUCAAGUAAAUCUCCAGGUAGAGGACGAGGCAAGGGCAAGGGCAAGCUGGCGAGCGACCCGAAGUGACCGUGGCGGGCCAUAGGGACUACUGCUUCCGCUUAUCCUUAUUUUAGACUUUCGUAG